UUUAUCACAGCAACAGGAAGUAACUGACACAAACGCCCAUAAAGAUGAAAAAGGUCUUGUGUGGAGCAGCGCUGUCUGCUCAUCCCUUCAUCAGAGUCAGCUGGAUUUUGCAAGAGAGGAAAGGAUCUACAUCUUCAAACCCUCCAGCCUGAGCUAGGCUUCCAGGAUCCCACCCUCCUUCGCUCACACUUGCACGUGCAGGACCAGAGCCUGUGGGCCCUGGUGUACAUCUCCUGCCGAUGCAGAAUCUGCAAAUAGACGCCUCCUUCCACAACAUACCUCUCCACAAAGCCAACCCACUGAAACGGAGCUCAUUAUCUCCAGACAUCGCUGCGGCCAAAGGGCAGGCUAUGACGCAGAGCAUCAUGGGAUGGCAGCCUUCAGUGGACAAUGACUUCGUGGUGGUCAGCAAGCCAAGAAGAGAUGAGCAAAAGACCCAGGUUGCCAGAAGAAUGCAAGUCAGCCUCAAAGACUGAGAAGGGAGAGUCACUACAUGGGCACCGGCACAGACACUCCUGGCACCUUGAGGUGAGUGCUGUUUCAUUGUGGAGCCUCGAAUGACUGUGGAGAAGAGUGUACCUAUCCGCACGAGUUGACCUCCAACCUGUCUCAAAAUGAUGGGUCGAAGAUGAGUUUGUGCUCUGUCUCAAGUGACAGCCGUCCCACCAACGUAUUGUUACCUGUCUUCAGAUAUUUGGACUCUACGAAGUACAGAGGCAGCGCAGAUUUUUAUCCUUGUGCAGAUUCGUAAAAAUGAACACAAGGUUACAUAACCCAAGAUGCACAGAGAAAUGUGCAGUGUGAUGGAGUUUCCAGGACACAGGCUGCAGACCAGUGGAUGGCCGACAUCAGCUGGCUUGGAGGGAGGUGCGCUGGAAUCUCCUGCAGUUUCUGACGGAAGUCGGCUGUUUCCACGGUUUAGAACCGCUCACAAUGUGAGCUACUUUUUUUACUCUUUUCAAGACAGAAGCUUGGGUCAAAGUCUUAUUCAUCUGUGGCAGAGGGUAAUAAAAACGGGAAGUUUGGG
rnacentral:lncRNA from 1 species